UACGUAGGGGGCAAGCGUUGUCCGGAAUUAUUGGGCGUAAAGAGCUCGUAGGCGGUCUGUCGCGUCCGUUGUGAAAACUCGAGGCUCAACCUCGGGCUUGCAGUGGAUACGGGCAGACUAGAGUGCGGUGGGGGAGACUGGAAUUCCCAGUGUAGCGGUGAAAUGCGUAGAUAUUGGGAGGAACACCAGUGGCGAAGGCGGCUCACUGGACCGGAACUGACGCUGAGGCGCGAAAGCGUGGGGAGCAAACAGG
rnacentral:rRNA from 1 species